AGGAAUUGGCGGGGGAGCACCACAAGGGGUGAAGCCUGCGGUUCAAUUGGAGUCAACGCCGGAAAUCUUACCGGGGGCGACAGCAGUGUGAAGGUCAAGCUGAAGACUUUACCAGACAAGCUGAGAGGAGGUGCAUGGCCGUCGCCAGCUCGUGCCGUGAGGUGUCCUGUUAAGUCAGGUAACGAGCGAGACCCCUGCUUCUAGUUGCUACUCUUAUUCUCCGGAGUAAGAGGGCUAAUUAGAAGGACUGCCGCCGCUAAGGCGGAGGAAGGAGGGGGCUACGGCAGGUCAGUAUGCCCCGAAACCCUCGAGCCACACGCGGGCUGCAAUGGCAAGUACAAUGGGUACCGAUCCCGAAAGGAGGAGGCAAUCCCCCAAAACUUGCCUCAGUUAUGAUUGAGGGCUGAAACUCGCCCUCAUGAAUAUGGAAUCCCUAGUAACCGCGUGUCAUCAUCGCGCGGUGAAUACGUCCCUGCUCCUUGCACACACCGCCCGUC
rnacentral:rRNA from 1 species